GGGCCCGCACAAGCGGUGGAGUAUGUGGUUUAAUUCGAUGCAACGCGAAGAACCUUACCAGGGUUUGACACCCUGCGAAUCUCUUGGAAACAAGAGAGUGCCUUCGGGAACGCAGUGACAGGUGGUGCAUGGCUGUCGUCAGCUCGUGUCGUGAGAUGUUGGGUUAAGUCCCGCAACGAGCGCAACCCACGUCUUUAGUUGCCAGCAUUUAGUUGGGCACUCUAGAGAGACUGCCGGUGAUAAACCGGAGGAAGGUGUGGAUGACGUCAAGUCAUCAUGCCCCUUACAUCCUGGGCUACACACGACUACAAUGCUACGGACAAAGAGCAGCAAGUUCGCGAGGACAAGCA
rnacentral:rRNA from 1 species